rnacentral:lncRNA from 1 species
AUUUGUUCUUGGCACAUGGUUUUCGAUAUUCAGCUGAUAUAGAUUGGUAAGGUUUAAAUAUUUGGUGGUAUCGUUGAGAUGAAAACCAAUUUAUAGUGAACAAGUUAAGAGAGAGAGAGAGACGCCUUGUUCCCCUUUUAUAGCCAAGAAAAUUAUCUAAAAAUAUAAAAGUUGUGGCUUAGUAUCACCAGUAGGAAUCUUCUAAUCAUGCCAAGUUGCAAAAUUUAACAUGACAAAAAAAAAAACACAUAAAACUCCAAGUGUGUUUCCAAGUGAAUUAUAUAAAAAUAUUAAUUUAGAAAAAGACUUCUUUGCAGUCCAAGCACUUUGCUCCAAUGAUCUAAACAGUUUAUAUUGUAGACCUCAUUAAAAAUUUUAAUACUGUAAAAAAUCACCUUAAUCAGAUACAAUCAACAGUUGAUCAAUAUCAAUUUACAUCAAUUAAGUGAUUAGAAGAUUAAGAGUAAAUUACACUUUGCAUUCCUGUAUUUUAUAUUGAAUCUCACCUUACAAUCUUUAUUUUCAAAAGAGACUACCAAGUCCUUAAAUUUGGAUUCAAGUGCGGUUAUAGCCAUUUCAUCCGUUACCUUUUAAUAAUCAACAGAAAUAAGCCGUUUGAGACUCUCAUGACCAAUUAUUGAGGGAAAAAUAAGAAAAUCCACUUAGACGAUGCUUACUUUUUUUUUUGGCCUAUUUAGCUUAAGUUUUUCAAUCGCAAUUGAUAUUUUAUCUUUGGUUUUAAUUUUGCUUAUUAGUCUGGUAUAAAAUUAUGGUGACAAAUUGUCCAAAGUAUUUCCAUAACUUUGGAAAAGGGUGAUGUAGUAGGGAGAAGAGAGAUGAUAGUGAGGAGAUACAAAUAGGAAGCUGGUGGCAAGUAGAGGAUAGAAGGUUGAUAGUAGCAUCGGCAGAUAAAAAGUCAGAUUCGAUAUUGGAUUCAGAAAGUGCUUACCACUUGUGCAGAGACAGAGAGAUAUUCUCUACAUAUGCAUUAUGCGAUGGACUUGUACGGAUGAUGAACAACACGGCGAACAGAGUUAUUGGCAAAGGAACAGUCUGAUUUCGCAUGGCAGUCGGGAGGUCUCUGACAUUGACCGAGGUAAGGUAUGUUCCUAGUCUACGAAAAAAUUUAAUUUUCAUUGGGAUGCUAGAUUCGAAGGGUUGCAGUUUUACAGCUAGUGGGGGAAUUCUAAAAGUUUUCAAGGGAAAUAAGGAGAUAUUGUGGGGAAGGAAGACUAGAGGACUAUACGAACUGGAAGGGAGUAUCCAGAUAAGGGGAGCUCUUGUUAGAUAUGGGUUUAAUGGUACUAGCAAACAAGAUGAACAAGGAAAGCAACAAUUGCACAAAGGCACGCAAAGUAAGCAUAGGGGUACCUAGAGGAUUCGAAGUGGUACAUGAGCACAGGGAGAGGCUUUAAGAUAUGUGCGGAAGUUUGGCCAGACACAAGUGGUGCAACCAGUGCAGGAUGUCUAGAAAAGUUAAGAGAAAUGUAAUAAAGUCGAUUUUGAAGAGUUGUACAGCGACAGAUACGACGACAUCGAAACGGAUCUCUUUCACUCUCGAUUUGAUUAAUGGCGGUGAUCUCUCCAGUUUUGUACACAAGGAGUGAUAGAUGUAACCAUGACAACUCACAAAGUGAUGUACUUUGCGGCGCACCCCGGUGGAGAUGUGGGGCACCUCAAUGAGAAUGUGCGGGUACUUUGGUAUGGAGGUAUAUAUACUUCAGUGAGAAGUGGAGUAGCCCGUUGAUUAAGGCAAGGUAUCUCGGAUGUUGUCUUGUAGAUCUUGUGGGGGAGUUGGACCAAAAAUUAUUAGGAUGGACAACUUGAAGACAUCAGAUUAUCUUCCAAUGGAUUGAAGAGGGAGAUUAUUGAGUACAACCCACAUUGAUGAGUACAACCCACUAUUGGGACCAAGCCUAAAUAGUAUAUUUGGGUCCAAGGCCAAGCUUGUUUAGCAAUAGUUUUUCUCUAUAAAUAUGAAGAGAUAGAGAAAAUUAGGGUGUAGGAUUGUGUUGGGUUAACUGAGAAUAGAGAGAGAAAAUGAGGAGAGACAAGAGAGGCUGACAGAGAUUGUGAGAGAAAUGUUGAGAGUGUGUUGAGAAAGUGAGUUUCCUCCUUUUGUAAUCCCUUCGUUCGAUUAGUGGAUUAUUUAUUUCUCUCCGUAGAUGUCGACAUUAUUGACUAAACAACGUAAAUAUUUAUAGUCAUGUGUGUGUGAUCGGUUGUUUUAAGCACGACCCUCCAAAUACACUUGUUAAGUUCUUUGUCAUGGAUUCCUUUUAUGUUUUUGCGUGUUGGUAGGUCGUUUGAGCCUAUUAUACGAUCUUUUGGAUGAAUUUCUUUGUCAUAUGGAUUCCUUUUUAUAUUUUGAUAAAAUAUAAUAUAGAUAACUUUUAAUAAAGAUAACUUUCAAAUGGUAUUUUAGAGAUUUUGAGAUGCAAAAGCUCUUAGGAGAUUAAUUAUCAUGACAGAGGUAUGCAAUAUUACAACAAUGGGAUGGUACAUGAUAUUGCUUAGUAGAUUUAGUGUCACAAUAAAUCUACUGACAAUAGACCUUUAAGUGUUGCAAUGUACGAAUCAAAUCAAGUGAAAUCUAUUUAUCACUCCUACUUACUCUCAACUGAUCACAAUCACAGCAAAUUUAAAUUUACAGCUUGGACACAACUUUAAUGGACUUGUAAUCAAAUAGACCAUCCACAUGCUCUCCAGUCAUUUUCUUCAACUCCUCUUGAAACCUUUCCAAAGCGGCUUCUGGCAAGCAAAUCAGUACCACAGUCCCAUUUUCCCCUUUAUUGUCUUUAAACCUUCCAUAGAAGCUAAUCAAAGGGAACGCCUUAGCAGGUCCGCCAUAGACCGGUUUCCCCCACCCAAAAUCUAUUGUGUCAAGGCCAACGCGGGUCAUAUCAGACACAAUAUAGUUCCCCGCCACCGUAUAGAGAGGUCGUCCCUUAGUCACCAUAAGAUCUGCCACUGACCUCAAAUACUCUCCGGUCAUUAUGGCCUUUGCCUUCUUCACCCCCUCCAUCACGUAUUCCAACGGAGAAGUAGAAAUCAUUCCAGCUCUCAAAACUGUAGCUGGAAAGGCAGAAACAUUUCCAUAGUAUCCUCGAGGUACAUGCAGGCCGUGCUUUCCACGUCCGUUGGCUGCGCACGAGAUGCGAACCGUCUUUUGGGGGUCUAGCCCAAGUGCACAA